rnacentral:lncRNA from 1 species
GAUGAGGCUAGUUUUUCACACCACCCACUGUAGGGAAAGCCUGUUCUGAAGAUUACAACUUUCCUGGAGGUGAAGAAGGGGGUUGGACUGGAAGACCUCCGAGGCCUCUUCCAAUCCUAAUGGAAGUGGGAGGCCCUGUUGAGAAAAACUAACCAUGAUUGGAACCUAGCCUCGCCCCAAGCGGGGAAACCUGGGAUUUCUUCAGCUCCACUGGCCAAAAAACACCCCACGGAAAGUCCCUGGUGGGAAAGAGCAGGAAUUUUGGUGAGUCUGACAAAAGCGUGGUUAAUUGAAAUCUGUUUAAGUUUCUAGUCCUCUGCGAGUUUCCCUGGAAUGAAACCUCUGCUGAAUCCAAUGGGCCUUUAAGAGAGGAUCUCACUCCCCAGCAGGUAAGUCCAGAAUUGCUGAAGCAAUUUGGACAUUUGGGGUUAGUCCUCGACUUAACGACCGCAAGCGAGCCCAGCGUUUCCGUGGCAAAGCGAGACGUUUGUUGAAGUGAGUUUUUGACCCCCAUUGGGCGAUCGUUCCUGGCCACCGUCGUUAAGUGAGUGGCCGCAACUGUUCAGUGAGUCAUACGGUCGUUAAGCGAAGCCGGCUUCCCGAUGUUCACUUUGCCCGUCAGAAGGUUGCAAAAAAUGGGAACCAGGGGACUCCGGGCGACGCUGCGACCGUCCGCUGACAAGGGUCGGAAGGUGGGUCAGGUCAGGCCAGCCUGGGGAAACGGUCGUAAGUGUGAAAAGUGGUCACAAGUUGCUUUUUUUUCCCCCAGGGGGCGGCGUGGUAACUUGGAACGGUCACAAAGUGAACAGUUGUAAGUGGAGGACUCCCUGUGUGGGGGGAGGGGGGAAGCAAGCUGCCAAACCCACUUCCACAAGGCAAGACCCGGGAGAGGCCUUUGACUGCAAGGGACGCCCCCAAAAGGAAGAGCUGGGGGGGGGCAGAAAUGAAGCCACACACCCCUCCCCAUGCAAGGUUUGGUACCCCCAGGCAGCUGUUUCCCUUUCUUUCUUUCUUUCUUUCUUUCUUUUUCUUUCUUUCUUUCUUUCUUUCUCUUUCUUUCUUUCUUUCCUUCCUUUCUCUUCCUUCCUCUUUCUUCCUUCCUUUCCUCCUUCUUUCAUUCCUUCCUUUCUCCUCCUUCCUUCCUUUCCUUCCUUCUUUCUUUCUUUCCUUUCCUUUCCUUCCUUCUUUCUUUCUUUCUUUCCUUCCCUUCCUUCCUUCUUUCCUUCCUUCCUUCCCUUCCUUCCUUUCUUUCUUUCCUUUCUUUCUUUCCUUCUCUUUCUUUCUUUCCUUCCUUCCCUUCCUUCCUUCCUUCCUUCCUUCCUUCCUUCCCUUCCUUCCUUCCUUCCUUCCUUUCCCUGCUCCUGUGCCUUUCCAUACCCUGGUCUCUCCACCUGGGCAGAUCCACUCUCUACCUGGAGAUCCAUUCUCCAUCUGGGCAGAUUCACUCUCCACCUGGAGAUCCAUUCUGCACCUGGAGAUCCAUUCUCCACCUGGAGAGGUCUAUUCUGCACCUAGAGAGAUCCAUUCUGCACCUGGAGAGAUCCAUUCUCCACCUGGGCAGAUCUACUCUCCAACUGGAGAGAUCCAUUCUCCACCUGGAGAUCCAUUCUCUACUUGGAGAUCCCUUCUCCACUUGAAGAGAUCCAUUCUGCACCUGGAGAGAUCCAUUCUCUACCUGGAGAGAUCUGUUCUCCACCUGGGCAGAUCCAUUCUCCACUUGGAGAUCCAUUCAACUACCGGUGGGGGCGGGGUGGAGAAGAGAGAGGAUCUAUUAUUCUCUCCGGAUCCCCGGCUUCCCGGCGGCUCUUCGCCGCCCCGCCCAGCCGCGAAGGAAAUAAAAAAUAAAAAGGCCGGGCCGGACGCCGAGACAGGUGCGCUCCGGAGCCGCCUCCCCGCCGGGCGGGGUCCUCCGCGCAAACCUGCGCUGGGCUCACCCUGCGCGCUUCCGGGGCUUGUACGCUCGCUGCCCACCCGGGCCCAAAGGGAGGCAGCUGUGGAAUGA